ACAGAAGCCCCAUCCCCACAGCCACAGGCACCAAGGCGAGAGAGAAAGAAAGAGCAGGGAGGCGGGCGAAGCGCAGGGAGAGAAGCAGAGAAGAAAUAUUCACCUUCCCGCCUCAUGCCCACUUUGAGGCACUUCUUGAGGCGGCAGUAUUGGCACUGGUUGCGGUGGUGCUGGUCGAUGGGACAGUUCCUGUUGGCACGGCAUGUGUGGCCAUGGAAUGGUGUAGCAGAUUGCUGCAGAUGGUUUCAAUAGUUCUGCUGAAUGCUCCUUGUUUGUGCCUGCAAGAGGAACUCAAGGCUUUAUGUAUGGCCAUUGCUGUGACCUAGUGUGAUGCUCUACUUUUCCACUGAACUCUGCUUGCUCUAACUGAGGACCUUAGCUAUAAUUUAGCCUUUUCUUUUUAUAUUAAGCUGUUGUUGAGGAAGGAGCUUUGGCAAUAGAAGAAACCAAGCAGCAGGUUAAUUUCCACUGUUGACACAACUGGAAACGGAUCCCUACUUUAUGCAUUGGAGAUGCUAUGAAGACUACUCUGUCUGAUGUUUCCCUAUUGGGAUAGUGAAGUAUGAUGCUUCAUUGGUUGAGUGUAUGCAAUCAAAGUAAGAGUGAAAAAGGAAGAUCUGAGGAGUGGGCAGAUGCCUGCCGGGUAAACUAUUUGUGGCAUAAACUUGAGGACCCCACAGGAAAGCCAGAUGUUGUCAUGUGCUUCAAACCACAAUUCUGCUAUUGAAUGGGGGAUUACUGGUCAGUGACUAGCCAAAAUGGUGAGCUUCAUGUGCUGAGAGAACUACCUAUCUCAAAAAAAUAAGGUGAAAGGGCUAGAGAGGUGGCAAAGUAGCACUGACUGAUCUCUCAGAGGAGAACGUGGAUUCAACUCCUAGCACCCACAUAGCAGCCAACAACCAUCUGUAACUCCAGUCUCAGGGGAUUUAGUGCCUUCUUAUAUCCUCAGUGAACACUGCACAUAUAUUGUGCAUAGACAUACAUUCAGUCAAACAAACACUCAGACACAUAAAAAUAAAUGAAAUCUCAAAAUAUUUUAAAAAGAUAAUGUGGAGGGUGAUUGAGGCCUUAUAUUAAUCUUUAGACUUUACAAAAUGAGUUUUACACACACACACACACACAGAAAACACACAAACACACUAUAUGUACACACACAUAUAUACACUGACACACACACUUGAAAAAUUGUUAUUGCUUAAAAUUUUUUUGAUAACUUGUCUCAGAAUUUUUAUUAUUGAUUUUAUUAUAAUAUUAAUUUUUAGUCUACAGUAAAUCUUUAUGCUGGAACUAGACUUCAGGAUUAUUAUAAGAUAUAUUUAAUGUAUAAAUUUGAGUUCAUAAUUGUGAGAAUAAUUCUUUUAUGGUUGUGGUAAUAAAGUAUCAUUAUCUUCUUAGAUCUAAUGUAAGAUUCAAACUCUGACCCACUAACUUCCAAGUCCCUUCUUAAAAGUGCUGUAUUAAACUGCAUGAAGCU
ensembl:antisense